rnacentral:lncRNA from 1 species
UAGAUGUUAUCAUCUUAUUUAUAUUUUUUAGGAGAAAGUUAGUAUAUUAUCUGUUUCGUUUAUUUUGUUGAAAUAAAUUUAGCUAGAAAUGUAAAGUAACUAGAUUUUUAACUUUUGGAUCUCGAAUACUAACCAUCAAAUCCUAGGUACGAACAAUUAUUAUUUUCUUUUUAUUGCAGUGUUAUUUUAAUUGUUAGGUAGAAUAAUAAAAAGAAUAUGACCUUUCCCCUGUACAAAGAGAUCAAUUGCCAUCUCCACCACCAAAGUUUUUUAAAAUUUGAAGAGAAGGGAGUUAAGGAAAUGUUAAAUAUCAAUUCAACAUAAGUUUUUUAAAUUCUGUAAUAUAUAUAAGAGCAUUUUUCAAUAACAAAGUUUAGUUGAAAAAAAUUCUAUCAAAUACUGCCAAACUAGUUAACGAUUCGUGCGAUGCAGCGGAUAUAAAAUAUUUUUAAUAAUAAAAUUUUAUUAAUUUAUAUAGAUUUUUAUAUAAUUAAUUACUCAAAUUAUUAAUUAAAAUAAUUUUGAUAAAAUUAAUUUGAUAUUUAAAUUAAUCUAAUUAAAAAUAUUUUAUAUUGGUGUGUGUGUGUGAAAUAAAUUUUUACAAGAGUAACUAAUUAAUAAUGAUAUACAUAUAAGUAAAUGGCUAGUAAUAUGGCUGCUAAAUAAUUAAAAUUAUUAGGACACAAUUGAUAUAUAUUAAUAAAUAUUAAUUAAGCAAUUUUAUCACAAUAUUUUUAUAAAGAAAAAUUUUGUGAGAACUAAUUACUAAUUAGAUAAUUUUAUAAAAUUAUAAAAAAAAAAGAGAAAUACAAUAUUUAAAGAAACAUAAGUAAAGUUGGCAAAAAAAAAAAAAAGAAAGAACAAAAUAAAGAGUGUAACAAAAAAUGUAAGAACUAUUAGUAAUUAAAAUUAUUUUUUAUUAAUAAUUAAAAUUACUUAAUAAAGUCAUGUGUCGAAAAGAACUAGAGAAAAAAAUUUGUAAAAAUUCAACGCGCACAUGAGAUAAGAAAUAAAAAAUUAUUCUGUGCACCAGGUGCAUAUCUAUAUCCUAUACACUGUAUUUCUAAACUCAAUUAUAAAAAUUUAAACCUAGUAACGUUUUAUACAUCUAUAGCAUUAGCUUUGAUUUUACUAAAUUUAUCAUUAAAAAAUUUAUUCGGUUCAUGCGAUAUAUUAAUAGACCUGGUGGUGCAGAUAGUAAUUUCUCAUAUUUGAGAAGGCGAGAGCGAAGAGGGGGAUUAAAGAGAGAGAUAUGUAGGAUAAAACUUCAGUGGGGAGCUCCCCAACGACGACUCAUUAUAAAGCCUCUGAUUCACUGUCACGUGUUAAUUUUGUCUCCAUCCAAUGAUUCGUUGCAUAUUUUUUUAAUGUUAAAACUCAAAAAAAUAAAAAUUAAAUUUUAGAGGAAAAGAGUAAAACUAUUGAGUAGAGAUAAAAGUAACACGUAUUAUCAGAUUGGGGCUAAUUAAAAAUGCAUCAUAUAAAAGCAUUAAAUAUAAGGGAAAACUUCAAAUACCGCCCUAUGGUUUCGCACUUGCUCACUUUAGUAUCAUGUGGUUUCAAGUGUAUCAAGUUAUCCCGUAGUUUCCGUUUUCUAUUUUUAUUAUUCAUUUCGAAAUACAUAAUUUAACAAAAUAUUAAAUCACAUGGUACUAAAGUGGGAAAAUACGAAAUCCACAGCGGCGUGGCCACGACGGACCUGCAGCAGCAGCAGCAGCAGCAGCAGCCGCCACCGUCGUCUCCACCCUCCUUCCUACUCGUGCAGGCGCGGCAGUUCUUGGUCGCGAUGCUGGUGAUGGACACACGGCAGUACUUCCUGCACUGGUACAUGCACCACAACAAGUUCCUCUGCCGGCACGUCCACUCGCUGCACCACCGCCUGGGCGCGCCCUACUCCUUCGGGCCGCUCUACAACCAGCCGGUCGAGGGCCUCCUCCUCGACACCCUCGGCGGGGCCCUCUCUCCUUCCUCGUCUCCGGCAUGAGCCCUCGAACCUCCAUCUUCUUCUCCUUCUCCUUCGCGACGAUCAAGACGGUCGACGACCACUGCAGGCUUUGGAUCCCUGGCAAUCCGCUGCACGUCGUCUUUCAGAACAACACCGCCUACCACGACAUCCAUCACCAGCUUCACGGAGCCAAGUACAACUUCUCGCAGCCGUUCUUCGUCGUCUGGGAUCGGAUCCUCGGUACGUACAUGCCGUAUGCGACCGACAGAUCGCGAAACGACGGUGCCUGGCUCGAGGUGAGGCCGAGAUGAGAAUCGAAAGAAGAGAAAGAUCACAAGCAUGCAUGCAUAUAUCUGAAAUGUGUAUAUAUAAUAUAUACCCUUGCAACCCCUUGGCAUGUAACUAACUGUUUUUCUUUUUGGGUGAUGUUGUUGCCAUGCAUGUGUGGUUGCUAUAUAACAGUUCAGAUCUAGUAUAUACUACAGUGAAUUAAUUGUAAAUCAUCUAAUUAAUAUACCCUGCACCUCUUACUAGUUCAGUAGAUAUUUUACAUAGGUAAUUAAUUUUGGUUGGUAUUUUGUCACACUUGACAUGAUUUGCUUCAUGAUUUUUUUCAAAUUAAACUGUGGUGCUUCUGUAAUCGUUGCAUAGAUCAUCUUGAUCCACAGCCAAUAUGUUGUUUACCUUUUGAUCAGAUGAUUGAAUGAUCCGGUUUUCAAGCUGGUUGAGCAUGCUGGCUAAAAUAACUAUGAUUAGAGAACUUUCCAUUCAGUGUGUUUGAAUUAAUCAAACUGUUGGAUUGGAUUUACAGUGCUAAGAAAAGAUGUUUACAAUAAACUCCCAAGCUUUGGAGACCAAGUUUCUGUGCAGCAGAUCACCACAAUUUUGCUACACAUGAUCCUGUUUUAGAUUGACAUUAACAUCAGGAAAUAAGAGUCGAAAUCAUGUUUUUUUGUUUCCGAGAUAAAAAGAGUUUCAAACAUUGCAGUUCACAUCUAACCAUUUAGUUUCUGAUUUUACAACUCCACAAAAGCGCUCAAGCUACAUAUCAUCUAGUACCAAAGAAAGCAAAAAUAGGAGAAGAUAUCAAUUCACGUGCUGAAAAGCUCAGAAACUUCUUCUGAUCCGGUCGAUAAAUUUAUCAUCUUCUUGUACAAGCCUUUUCUGGUGAACAUAACAAAGAAAAAUGACUCUUUAAAAUUGGAGACACUAAUUUACACGGACGUAUGAAGUAUGAACAACCUCCUUCAAAGUUCAUAGAACAGGUGCUCCACAAAAAAGGCACCAGUGCAUAAAUACAAACCAGCUAGUUAUUUGGUUAGUUGCUAAAUCUCUGUUGAAUAAGAACUACUAUAUAUGUAGAGUUGAAUCAAUUAUCAACAUAUUCCUGCGACAGGAUCAUUUUCACAAGUUCCUUCAGAUUUGCUAAUACAUGUCUUGGUCCCAAGCUUUCUGCGCCGACGUAAUUUAAAAGCUGCUCUAAAUCCUAUAAAUGAAUCACAAGUAAGGCCAAUGAUCGUAUAUAGAAACUAUAAAUGCACGAUUAAGCAUUAGUAAGCCAUUGUGAGAUACAACAAAUAUAUAUGGAAUGGAAUGGAUAAAGGAUCAGCAACAAUCACGACAUUACAACAUGCAAAGAAUCGAGCAUUAAACAGGAUUAACUAGGUCUCUGAAUUUCAGAAAAUAAUAGUGAAUAAUGAUGAUGUCUCUACUUAAAAAAAUGAAGUGCAGUUAGUUCUUCCAUUUCUCCUCAGCAUUUUUGGUUUCAUUUAUUUAUUCUAACAAGGUUAAGAACAAAAUGUAAAGCAAAAGACAGACCUUGUUCAAUAAGAACAUUGCGUAAGCAGCUCUCGUUGUAUCCUGGCCCUCUAGAAAUAAGGGAAAUUCUGUAGGUCUAGAAUUUGUGGACGUAGUAAUUGAAUUUACAGCCGAUUCUGCUGACGUAGACUCAACUGAAGGUGCAUGAUCUUGAAUAUAUGAACGUGAACCUCCCAAUCGCAAUGGGUAGCGGAGAGGAACGUCUAAGUAUUUAGCAAUAAGCAAGACUGCCUACAAUUGAAAGCAAGGAAACAAGAAACAAUGAGUCAGCACUCUUUGAGAGCAAUUACUUCUGUCUGUGGCUUAUUGUAUAGUUAUUAUUUCUUAUUCAAUUGACAGCUGGCAAUAACUACAGAUAUUACCUCUUAAGUAUGGCGCACUUUGAAAUGGGUGCCUAAUUUUCAUUUCAUCAACAAACCUUCCAUUACUUUUUAUUACAUUACAUCUUUCUGUUUCUGAUAAUACGAUCAUAAAAUUAUCCCAAUAAUAAUAAGAAUAGUUAACAAGAAUACAGAAUUUUCUGUGAAAAAAAAUACAGACAUUGUUCAAUCUUGAUGUGUGAGGCAGUAGAAUCAAAUGAAAGAUUAGGUACUGAAAUCAACGUACUUUGGAGUUCAAAGCACCCAUUUCAAAUGCACUUUAGUUCGGAUAGCGUCUACAUGUUUUACCUUUAAAUCCCAUUAUACUUGUUGUCACUUGAAGGCUAAUACAGAGAAGAAGAAGGCAGUUAAUGAACCUUAGUAAGUUAUUCCACAUCGAAAGGUAUUUAAAACCACAAAUAGUAAGAACUUACAUGUGCAACAUAACCCAGAACAGUUGCAGACCUCCGGACCUCCUUUUUAUCAGUGAAAAAACUCAUCUUUUGCAUCGGGAGCGUGGUUAAUUGUAAACCCGAGAUUGCCAAAUGUGACAAUUGCAUAGAUCUAGACAUAUUAGGUGAAGAAGAAUCAUCAUCUCCUGAAAAUGAUCUAUUAAUGUCACAAUCAAAGAGUUGAAGAGAAAGGUAGAAUUAUCAUACUAGAAGAUACAUGUAAAUACAAGAAAAAAUAACUUAUAAGCAGAUAGUUGUCAUAAAACAACCUACCCCAUUUUUGUACUAUGUAAGACAAAUAUAUCCUAUUUAAGUGAUAGAUACAUGAAGUGUCCUAGUUCGUCCACCAUGGUUGAUAUGAAAGAGACUAGAUAAAGCAAAAUGGUAAUGAAACGAUAAUGAAACUUAAACACUAAAAAAAAAAAAAAAAAAAAAAAUCAGAUUUCAUGGAUUUUUCUCUCUGAUACCAGUUUAAGGCAACCUUGGACGUGUAGGAUACAAGGACCUCAUAGCGCAUCUUUUUCAAUAGUCGAUAGGUGUUGAUAAAGGUGGGGAUGAAGAAGUAGAUUUAUUCAUGAGACCAUUACUCUCUGUAUCAAAAUAUAAGAAGAGAAGAAAACAGCGAGAGGAACAAGGCCCAAGGCUAAAAAUCUCUAUUAUCAUCAAUAAAUUCAUCAAAAUACUUUCUUUAGGAACAUACAUACAUACAUACAUACAUAUAUACAUAUAUAUAGAUAUCAAGGUGAGUAGGUGACCCUACAGGAUUGACCUGAAGCACUCAAACUCACUCUAACGUUCUCUACUAUCAAGACAGGGGUCUUUCGACACCAUUUAGCACUGUGUUGUUUAUUUAGGACUUCCAUUUAAAUGUAUACAUAGGCAGUUAAAACUUUACCUAACUAACAAAAGUGAGAUUCAUUUCAUUUAGAAGUCCAGAAAGUGAUUAACAUCAUCAAAAAUCAAGCUCGAUCAAUCCAAGCCUGCAUACCCUCUAGCCUUUGACAACAGCCAGUCCCUUUCACUAUCCAAACUGAAGAUCCGAAUUAUCUUUCUGCUAUCCCAGAGCAAAAUCAUGCACCUAGCUCAAGAAAAGCAAAUAGAUAUUCCCUAACAUCCCUCAUGUGGGCCCCACUUUAUCCAUAACCAAAUGAAACCACUCUCUGCACUUUAAUUGCACCAAGAGCCAUGAAAUCCAACCGGCUUAACAUUAAAAGCUACUCUUCCACUAAACCUUCUUCAAACACAUCCUAAUCUUAGAGAUAACCUUGAUUCCCCUUCUAGUCCCAUCCAAAUUCAAAUAACCGGAAACCCUUUCUUAGAUAUUUCCAAAUUUCGACCCUAAAUGCAUCAGAAAUCCAACUCCUUAUAAAUACAUAGUCAUCAAUAUAAAACCCACCAAAAACUUAAUAACCCACCAUCUUAUCCUGCAUAACGAGUCAAUGCUGUGUUGUGAAGUUCAUGCAAUGCUCUGGUCAGAGAGGCAUGUUUUAAAAGUUUACAUGAAAAAUACAGCUCAGUAUAUGCCUAUGCAGUGCGUAAUCAAUUUGUUGUAAACAACGGGUUGCAUUUUAGUUCUAUAUUUUAUGUGUCACUGACACAAAGAAAAACUAUUAAUCUAAUACCAUAUACUGCUACCUCAGCUGGUAACAUCCCAUAGAAAGAAAGUGAACAUACUAGUUUUGGUGCCACCAGAACUUGAAUCAAGAGUCUCAACUGGUGCUUUAUCUUUCAAGGUCUUCACAGGAUAGAGGCUAGCAACUUGCGCUACCAUAUACCUUUCCCUCAUCCGUAACAUCUUUUGUAGAUUUUUCAGAUGGCCAAGACCCUUCUCUCCAGAUAACAACUUAUUAGCUUCCUACAACAAGAGAGGAGAAAUAUUAGAAUUUUAGUUUCGAAUUGACAGCGUACUAGUGAAUUAGAACUAAGCAUUUGAGAUGAGCAUAUAAUAAAAUCUUAAAUUUGCAGCAGUUCAAUUUGACGCUUCUUCUAGCUUGAAUAAGCUGUUGGGGAAUUUUAGGAACGGCUAUUUGAGGUCUUUUAAACAACUCUACUAAAAAAACACUUAUGAAAAAUAUCCAGUUGGGUCAGACAUGGCCAUAAACAUUUAAGCAAAACACUAGAUUCACAGGCACAAAAAUGCUAUAGUAGUAAAGCAAUCUUUUGAAGCAGUAUAUUUCAGUAUGUGUGCAUGUGUUUGACUACAUAGCAACGUUUAAAGUGCCGCCCCGUACCAUACCACGUCCCGUUCGCCGUGCCACACGAGACAAAGUGGCACGGCGUAGUGUGCCGCGGCACAGUGCCGGCAUGGCACUGUGCUUUUUUUUUUUUUUUUUUUUUGCUUUUUUGCUUUUUUUUGCUUUUUGUUUUGUUCUUUGGGGUAUUUGAAGCAUUUUGGUACCCCACACCCCCCCCCAAAGACAUGCAAAUCGAAAAUUUACUUAUUAGGUAAGUCAAAAAAAUUAUAAUUUAAUUUUUUUGUUUAUCAAUAUACGGACAAAAGAUUUGUUCGAGCCCUCCACUUCCACCACAGACAUCUAUUUUUUCUUCACAAAUUAUUUUAUCAAAAUUUGUCGCACCGCGAAAUUUUUGGCGAAUUAAGAGAACAAAAUCGAACUCAAUAAACAAAUUUUGAGACAUAUCAAACAUAAAAUUUUAUUUUUGUGCUAGAAGAUUAAAAAUAUUGAUAAAAUUAAAAGCUAAAUUAAAUCAAUUGAUACUUAAAUUUAUUUAAUUUAUUUGUCAUAUAAUUUAUUGCUUAUUUUUUUUGAUAGAUCUACUAAUUUUUUGAAAAAAUUAAUUAAAAAAUAAUUUUUUCAAAUAAUUUUUUUUUUUUUUGUAUUUUAUGAAAGAAAGACUGUAAUAUGGUUAAAAGAAAAAAAAGAAAAAAAGAUGUCUUUGCAUUUUAAAAAUUCUAACCUGUAAAAUUUCUAUUCUGCAUCAGGUAUAGUUGUAUUUUACAUAUAAAAAAACUUAUAAGCAUGUUAUUUGAUGAGUAUAAUAAGCUAUUCAUAGCAAAUAUUCAUAACUUUCAAAAUAAUAUUAUAAGAGCUUAUUGGAACCAAAAAAACUGAAAUAAAUCCGUGCCAAAGCGUGCCAGUAGGAGAUCAUGUGUAUCUAUUGGCACGCAAGCAUGUCAUGUAUCGGCACGAAAGCGUGCCGGUGUCAUACCGUGCCAGGCAGACAGCGACACGCCUCCGUGCCACGGCACUUUAAACCUUGCUACAUAGAUAUUUUUAGAUAACAGACAUGUUAACACAACUCUAUCACAUCAGUUGGGUGUUCUAUACAAAUCCUUUUCUCUGUCAACCUUUAUUUUUUGGACAACAUCUGUCACCACCCAAUACUCCUUUUGUUCUACCGGCCAUCAAGUUUUCGUAAUAUCUUUAGCCAAAUUUGCUUAGUCUUUCAGUUUUUCUGCUUUCAACAUGGUACCUUCCACUUGACGGAGUUACUUCUUACUCAAGCUUGAUCAUAAUAAAUGCCCAAACCAUCAUAAACAACUUUCAAUAGUCCUCAUUUGAUUUUACUUGAGAGUUAACCAUAUAAACAAUUGUUUCCUUUUCUAUUCCUAUACAUUUCUUCUAGUAAUACCUCCCUCUGUCCCAGCAAUCCAAUCUCAACCAUUUCUACAAUUUAAAACUCACAACUAUAAACAAGAUAGUCCUAUAACAAUCUUAGAAACUGUCCUAAUAAUUAUGAGGCAUAAAUACAAUCAAACAACUAACCAAGAGUGAGGCAUGCAACUGAUAGCCACCAACUUACUUACCUUUUGGGUAACAAUUUCUUCUUAUUAAACUUAUUUUAAUAGAAAUUAAAUCCCCACACUGAACAAUACAUUUCUUCCCCUGGUUGCUGAUAAAGGACUACACUAAUUAAUGGACCUAAAGCACAUUAAAAUAAAAUUUGAGAGAGUAACAGUAGAUCCAACCAGAGGAGAUAAUGCAUCCUCAUUCUCGUUCUUUUUUAAAUUCACUUGGAUUACAAUAUAUGAAGACAAUUAGUUUCCUUUUAGUAGAUUGUCAAUGAACAAGUAAUUGUAGACGACACUGUCUGACAUGUUUUGACAUCCAUAUGUCGGAACAGAAGGAUUGUUACACACUGCCUAUUUUAGUUCACUGCUUGCAGAUUUGCUAAAUAGAAAGCACACCAGAGCUGCAUAUGAUUUUUUUUGUUGUCACGGAGAACGGCAAGUUAUUUUCAUUAUCAAAACGGCAGGUGCAUUGUAAUAUCUUAUAUCUUCUCCUAUGUUUCGCUUUAUCCUACAACUUUCUCCUAGAGUUACCAACAUAUUACCCGAGUUCCAAGCGCUACCAAAACUACCCAAAACAAAGCCUCGCAAAUAGAUUUCCAGCUCCACGUCCAAGUGCUAUUAUAACUAUUCAAAACAAAAUUACUUCUUUUCAUGGAAAUUGUCUUGUUAAAGGUAUGUUGGAAGAAUUUCCUAUUUCCAAUGCAACAAUUAGAAGUAGAUUCUUGAAUCGAAAAGGAAGCCAUCCAUGAUUGUCCAUGCUGCAUCUUAUCUACCAGUAAGCCGAAAAGCAUUUCCAACGUCCGUCAAUCUAACGCAUGGCAUUAAUCAAACACAUUAUAACUAACAAAUUAAAAUUAUAUGUCACAAAGUAUUCAUUAAAAAACCCAACUGCAGCAAGAAACAAGAAUUUAAUUGGUCUUAUGAAACAAUUAAAAACAUAUAUUUCUUUCCGAAAGUUAAGUCGGAUGUACCUGAAGUUGUUGGUGAGCUGCGGAGAGAGUCUUGCCAGCUACCAACAACAUUUUGAUCUUAGGAAGAAGUUUCUCCCUCUGGCCCUCAACAUUCUCCUUUUCUUUCUUCACAUGCAUCAGCAUAUUCUGCAUGGCAACUUUUCUAGCUUCCAGCUUUUGCCUCAUUUCCUCCAGCUCAUUAGUCUGGUGUAGUGAUUUUCUCCUUACCUAUUCAUCAUGUUACCAUAUAGGUGAUUGGAAAAACAUAAACUCCAAAAAUUGCAAGAACAUCUGAACAUUCAAAUAUAUCCUGUUUGUUCCAAAAGAUUGAAUAUAGAAACAAAACAGAAUUCUGAUUUAAGAAACGAGUGAUUGCCCUUCUCAAGCCCUUACUUCCCACCUGGAGAGUGAAAAGCUAAUGCGUUCCCCUUUUUAAUCAUGGUUUAUGGUCCGUUAGUGACGAGCAACCCCUAGAUGGAGAAGGCAUCCUUGUAGGUCGUGGCAGUUUUUUAGAGUGAAUUUCCCUAUCAAGUAGUCCUGCCAAUUAAUUUAAUCUGAGAAGCAGAUGAACAAUCAUCUCUUAUCAGAAGAAACUGAAAAAUUUCUUCAUAAUCCUACAAUAUCAAAUCGUACCCUUUCUCUCACAGGUUUAUUUCCAUACUACUAUACAUACUUGUACUUGGUGUUAACCUGCCGAAGCCUGGCUAAAUAACUUGACCUAAAAUGUCCGAAAGAUUGUCUUUCAUAAUAAAUGAUAAAAACAGGAACUCCCUUUUUCGUCAAUUGCAGUUCCAAAAUGCUUCCAUAUCGGGCUCGAAACUUUGAAUACUAUUAAACACUAAAAGACAUAAAUAUUGAUGUCCGCUACCUAGAGUAUUGAUCUUCAAGUCAAAAAGCCACUCCUAACAAUCACUGAUUCCAGAGGCACUCCCUUUGCAAGGGAGAAGAAGCUCAAAUAUUCACCCUUCAGCAAUAUAUUACACCAAUAAGAAUACCAAACUAUUGCAUUCGUAAUAUUAAACCAAAAAAAUGACGGAUGAUAGAAUAUCCAAAUUUAGUUAUUCUUUCUUAGCAAAAAUCUAAGACUCCAACCGCAGUAGAAAGAACUUACUCCAUUAUAGAAUGGAACUAUAAAUAACCUUUUAAUUAUUAAAAUAUAACUUGUAACUCAAGAUUCAUCUUCACAGCGCCAAAAAAAUUUUCUAUUCUGAAACAAAAAUGUCUGAUCUCACCAAUCGCAGAUCCAUUUUCUCCACAGAGCAGAGAAAGCAACAUUUUCCCAUUAUGAACUUGAAACUAAGAAACUUAAAAAAGUGAGAUUCAGCAUUCCAAACCCUAAUUUCACAACAUAAUACAAAAAAUUAAUCUUUUUCGUCAACUUAACAACAUAAAACAAAACCCUUUUACGAUCCUGAUCGCUCCCGCCAUCACAAUUAGCCAAACAUCUUCAUCCCAGACACAAAUUACGCAAACUCCUGAUCAUCAAUUGGAACCCUAGAAUCUGAGAUUGGACAAACCCUAAUCCUCGUACCUCGAUGAUCGAUUCGAGCCUCCGCGCGAGGGUUUCCUUCCGCUCCUUCGCCUUCCCGAGCGCCGCGACAAGGCUCCAGAGGCGCGCGAGCUCCUGCUGCAGGUCCUCCCACUCCACCACCUUCGGAGCCUCGGCGCCCUCGACGUCCUCCGCGGCCACGAUCGCCCAUCCCGACGCCUCUUCCUCCUCCUCCCCCGCCAUGGAUCCGGGCGCCGCGAGAUCUAGUGCGUCCGAUCGAUCCGGGUCCAUCGCGGGGGAUCAUCUCGGCCUUCGAGGGGCGGGGCUAGGGUUUCCGAAGGGGUUCAUGGGUGGUUCCUCGCAUAGAGAGAGAGAGAUGGGGGGUGAGUAACGUGCGGGUAUCGGUGAGAAGAGCCUCGAUAACUGCGUCGGAGUGGUCGCGGAGUAUUCGGAAGGAGAGGGGAUCGAGUGGACCGGGUCUUAUGAACCGAGCCAAUCAAUCAAUCAAUCAAUUAUUUAAUUGGAGGAAAUAGCUACUAAUGUAGGGAUUUUUGUAUUUUUAGUCCAAUAAUAAGUUUGUUAUUUAGUAGGGCUAGCAAGCGUGCGAUCCGGCUCGCAUACGAUUCAGCUCGAUAUUCCGCUCGCUCGAGCUCGACUUAAAAUUAAAUGAGCCGAGUUUGAACAAAAUAAAAGACUCGAAAUUUAUUUCAAGCCGAGCUUGAGUAUUACUCGGCUCGUUCGAAUUAGACUCGAAAAGCNAUAUAUAUAUAUAUAUAUAUAUAUAUAUAUAUAUAUAUAUAUAUAUAUAUAUAUAUAUAGAGCUAGGCUCUUAUGCUUUCGAAAAUACGGAAGCAUCCGUAUUUAUAAGUUGUUUUUAAUAAUGGGGCAUCCGAUUCGGCGAUCGGUUCCGUUAGACAUGAUCUACUCUAUUAGAACUACCUAGAAACCAAAUUUCAUAAUUUUUUGACUUCAUUUGUGUAGUAAACGAGUAGCCUCAAAAUGAACGGCUGAAAAUAAAAAUCUCAUAAAAAACAGUGAUAAAGGACUCAAAUUUCAAAUCGGAAGUAUUGGCCUUACUAUUGAUGUUAAGUAGAAUUUUCUAUUAAAUUUUCAUCUAAUUUGAAUACUUUUACACCGUUGAGCUUAAAAACGUGCCACAUCGGCCGUUAAAAUAGUCAUUUUUGAGACCUUUUGAUCGCUUGGUAAAUGAUGUCAAAAAAUUAUAAAAUUUAGUUUCUUAAUAGUUCCAAUAGAAUAGAUUAUACUUAACAGAGCCGAUUGUCGAAUCGGAUUUUCUAUCAUUGUAAAUAAUUUAUAAGCACUGAGUUCUCCGUACUUUCGAAAGUACAGGAGACUUACUAUAUAUAUAUAUAUAUAUAUAUAGAGAGAGAGAGAGAGAGAGAGAGAGAGAGAGUUGAGGUAGAAUACAUUCAAAAGCACCAAUGAGGUGGUGCUUUUGAGUUUUUUUAACCAUUGGAUGGAGGAAUGUAAGGUUGUGAUGAUGGUGGUAGGUGGAAUAGCGUUUGAUUCAAGGGUUAUUAGUAAUGAAAGAGUAGAUCCAAGAGCUAGAAACUUAAAAGCACCAAUGGGGUGAUACUUUUAAAAGUAUUCUAGCUCAAUUCUAUAUAUAUAUAUAUAUAAUGUAUUUUAAUUAUAUAUAGGCUUUAAUUUAAUUUGGGCCAUUAUUGUUGGCCAAUAAAAUAAUCCCAACAAGUACAACCGUGCAAUUGAGCCCAACUCUAAAUUUACAUAACACACUCUCUCUUUCAGACUUUCACUGUUGCACAUAAUCCUAAAACAUGAUAACAUUCAAAUUCUCAAAUCCCUAAUUGUUUUCCCCUCUCUCUCUCUCUCUCUCUCUCUCUCUCUCUCUCUCAGACCCUCACCCAGUCAGGCAGUCACCCUCUCUCUCAGACCCUCACCCAGUCAGGCAGUCACCCUAACUCAUAUUUCUUGUAAUUAUUUUGUAUUUUGAACUAUUGGACAUGUUGCAUUAAAUUAUAGGUAAUGUUAUAUAAAAAUUAAACUAUUGAUUAUAUAAUGUCGAGAAUUUCAAUCGGCUCGUUUAGAGCUCGAGAUCGGCUCGACUCGAAAUUAGGCUCGCUCGAGCUCGGCUCGAAUUAAUUUCAAGCCGAGCUUGAGCCUAGAUUUAGGCUCGAAAUUAAUUUCAAGCCGAAUUUGAGCUGACAUAAGCUCGCUCGAGCUCGGCUCGUUUUCACCCCUAUUAUUUAGAGCCUAUUUGAUUCCUUGAAAAAUACCCCAAAAAAAUUUUUCCAAGCUGAAAAUUUUUUUUAUGUAUUUGGUUUAAAGAACAAAAGAUUUUUUGAAAGAUUAUUUUUCACCUUUUCAUUUUCUAAAUCUUUUUUAUGUAAAAACGAAAACUCUUUUUUCGUUUUGAAGAGUUUAAAAAAAAAAGGAAAAAUCUUUUGUCUAAUACAUUGGUGUAUGUUUAUGUUAUCACCCAACCUAUCAUUUUUACCAUCUUUCACUUUAUUCCUAUCUCCCAAAACUACCACACCCCAUAGAACCGUCUCCCCGUAUCUCUACCGUUUUCAUUUAAUUUGGGCCGGGCUAGGCCUAAAGAUUUAGGCCCACAGGCAUGGCCCGGGCCCGAGAAUAGGAGCCGGCAAUAGGGCGGUGCCUGCGGAGCGAGCACGGCCCGACCCUCAAAGGGCUUCGGAGAAUAACUUAGGAGAAGUCUACUAUGUAGCAGUCACACUACACCGUCUCUAUUUAGUCAAUCAUUUUUUUUUCUUUUGGGAGAAAUAUAUAAUCAAAAAAUUUUCUAAAAAUUAUAAUGGAAUGGAUGAAUUCAAAAAAAAAAAGGUUUUAUUUGUUGAGAAACACCACGUCGGUAAUGUGAUUACUGUACUUUAUACUUUUUUUUCCAAGUUGGGCUCCCUUCUGGCAACUCGGAAGAGAGCUAGGCCUAGCUCCGUGUCACGGGUCAAUCGUUGGGACUCGACCGUGACGCUCUUGGGGGCCACAUUUGGUAGUCAUUGCGUUGACGAAGCUAUGGAGUUGCAGAGUUGAUGCGUUACGUCAAGUUGGAGCCGCUGUCAAGUCUACGGAGGCAAUUCUCUAGCAAUGGCCAAUGCCAUGGCAGGAUUUUGGUACCGCAUGCGGGGUUUCAAAACGUACCCCUCGGUGGGCACCUUUGUACCCCCGGGGUGCCAAAGGGCUGGAUGUCUUGCAUGGUAUAUAGGAGGAGGGGUGGACACUGCGUAGAGUGGCCCCGACUCCCCCGCCGACUCAUAGGACAUGGGUCGUCCCUUGGCUAGCGGAGUAGUCAAGUCUAGUGUUUCGUGUGACUGUGCAACGGAUGGUUGAAGGGUCAUGGGCCUAGGGCAAUGUCGGAGACAGAGGUCGACGACAUUGUGGAGCGGGAAGCACCCGGGAGGCUUUGCUCCUAGGUUCGCUUGUACUACCUUAUGCCGGCUCGGAUCUCUGUGAGGGAGCGCAUGAGCGGAUGAGGGUUAGUCUUGCGACGGAUGGCCCGCCGUAGAGGGCAAGGCUCGCGAAGGCAAGUGUGCUGAGCGGGGAUUCGCAGGGCNGCACGGUGACUGCGAAGGCUUAAGGAGAUGGAUCUCUGUAGGAUCGCCAAAAAGGAGGCACGUCGAAGGAGACUCGCGAGGCGCGUAGGUCUUGGAGACUCGAGAGGGGCGAAACCCAGUGUGGCAAACAGUAUCGGUAUCCGUAUGGUGAACCUUGAGGGACUGGACCAUUGGUGUGCGACCAGACGUGGUCGAGCCAUGGAGGAGUCAGAUGGGUUGCGACGCGGAGCGAGGCCGGCUAGUUUGUAUGGGGCCUUAUGUGGCGAAACUAUGGACAUCGAGGGCGCGGAGCGCCAUGGCAAUGCGAGGUCGUAUGGACAGUCGAGGAGCAUGGUGUGGGCUUGUUGGCUUCAUUGUCAGGAGCAUUGAGGGCACGUGUGCCAUACGGGUCGCAUGCGAAGCACGAAUGUGCGGAGCAUGGGCGUGCGGGGUGUCGCGCUAUGUCGCUGGCGUUGGAAGACAGACGAGCUUGUGGUACACACUUGGGUGGCUGCUUUGACGUGUGUCAGUGGACUGAGCGAGCAGGCCGCGAGUAGGCGGUAAGGCCGUGGAUGCUGUUAGGCGCAAGAGGCCCAAUAAUGGAGAAGUGACCUAGCUUGGUGGCCAGCCUCAGUUUUGGGGUUGCUCGUUGGGGAACUCGUGGAGUCCGACGAGGGGUUCGAAUGCAGGCGAUUGGUUGAGCUGUCAGUCUCGCGCAAGAGCAAGCUUGGCAAAUGCUUGGAUUGGUAUUCCGCUGUUAAGUUUGGAAGACUUGUCCGUGGUUAGGACUUGGGGAAGGCUUGUCCAUCUUCGAGCAGGAAGGGGGCGCCGCACGGGCUUUACGAAGAAAAAAGUUUUGUCCGUGACAUCCGGCUCCCAACAAGCUAAGCUAGAUUCUUUUGGGAGCUGAGUCUAAUUUUUCCAAGAAAAAAUUUCUUAAAAAGAUAUAGUAUUAGCUUUAAAACUAUCCAAAUAUUUUUAAAUUUUUUUAAUUUUAUUCAAAUGAUUUUUAAAUUUAAAAUUUUAAAGUUUUGUUCAAAUAAUUUUUAAGUUUUAAUUUUUUAGAAAAAAAUUUUAAAAAAAUUUAAUUAUUUUUAACCAUAAUACCAUAUUACCAUUAUAUGAGUUAAAAAAAUAUCUACAAUAUUUUCUGGACCCUAGGCCGAGCACGGCCCUCGGGCCACGAUGGCAUAGGCCGUAUCGGGGGUUGGUCGGGCCGUGCUGGUCUACUAUUUUUAGCCCACAUUACAUCCCAAAGUGUUGGUUAACUCAAUGAAAUUUUGGACAAAUAAAAUUAUGUUUAUUUCGCCUCAAUUGAUACAUUUUAACUACACUCAUAUUAGCUCCACCUGCGAAUAAACCUAAAAUUACUUAUAUUGCCAAAUAAUAUUAGAUUAAUUAGAUGCAUGCAUAUGCAAUCGGUAGAUCGUCAGUGAGUCAAAUACAAGUGAGUUGGGGCCGGCUCGAAAUCAACUCAAAAGUGUUGAAGACCGACUCGUGUUCGGUUCGAGCUCAUGACGAGCCAGAAAAGGCAAGCUCGCAUUUGGCUCAUUAGCUCGCGUAGUUUACCAAGCCGAGCAAGUUUAUAGCUUAAACCGUUUAUAACUUGCAAUUUAAAUCCCAUAAUAUCAAUUAAUUAAAAAUAAUUAUUAUUAUUUGCAUGACAAAUGUAGUGUAUCAUCAGGAUUUGGAUUAAAAGCUUAUAAAUGGAAUAGAACCCGAAAUUCUAUUUGGUAGAUCUUGAUCAAAUAGUUGUAAUUUACAAAAUAAAUGGGCUUCUUUACAUUUGUCUUGGGCCAAAAUUCAAAUAGUAGAAAUUUAUAUUUGCAUGUAUAAUUAUAUAAAUAAAUAUAGUAAGAUUAAAUAUAUAUAAAUAUUAAGUAUAUUUAUUCCAGCUAUCUCGAGCUGAACACAAGCGAGAUGAACCAAACUCGUGUAUUCACUCGUGAAGAUGUUUGAGCUCAAAAAUUUAUCUUAUGUUUAGAUAAUUUAUUAAACGAGUGAUCUCAAUCUCAAGUGCAUUUUGUCCCAAACAUGAGUAGGCUCGUGAAUAGGGGUGGUAAUCAAGUUCGCUGUUCGCAAGCUAGCUUGUGUUCGGCUCGAAAUGAGAGCGAGAUCGACUCGCUUGUUUAGUAAACGAGCCGAACAUGAGCUGAAUUUUUCAACUCGUUUAGUAAAGGAGUCGAGCAAGAGCUGGGAUUAACUCGGUCAUGUUCGGCUCGAUAACAGUUUGAAUACAUACAUUUUAUAUUUAUAUAAAAAAAUAAAUAAUUAUAUAUAUAAUAUAAAUUUUUAUUAUUUAAUUUUUGGUCCAAUCUAAAUAUAAAGUCUAACUCAAUUAUAAAAAUGUCUAUGUAUAUGUAAAAUUUCAACCGUUAGAUCAAAGCCUGAUGGGUACAAUCUCAUAAAUUUAUUUUCUAUAUAUAUCAUUUUUAAUCCUUUUAACUUAUUUGUUGGUGAGCCAGCUUGUGUUCGGCUCGUAUUCGGCUCGUUAAUAAACGAGCCGAACAUGAGCUAAAUUUUCGACUUUAUACUUUAACGAGCCAGUUCGUGUUCGGAUCGUUUAUGAAAUGAGUCGAACACGAGCCGACCCCAGCUCGCGUGUUCAGCUCGUUGACACCUCUACUCGUGAACAUACCAAAUGAAACUCAUCCAAUUUAGAAACUAAAGAUCUUUUUUAGAUAUCAAAAUAAGUUAAGAAUAACUUACCAUGUGUGAAAUUUUUUUGCGUGUCUGGAAGCAAGUAUUUGAUUUAUGCUCUUUUAUGUGUGAAAUUUUUUUGCAUGGUCAGAAUUCAACCCUAAUUACACAAGCCCACAUAGAGUCUAAAAAAGUAUGAGAUACCUAAUAAAAUUCAUUCAACCUAAUAACUUAAGCCUAUUAAUUUUGGCCCCAUUAGUAAACAUCAACCUUUCAUUCUCUUAUCAAUUAUGAAAUAUGAGACUAUUCAUAUGAGAAUUCCUAACAUAUGCAACUACUACAUGUCUAACUACUCAUAUCUAACCUAGUACUAGUAUUCGACAAGGCCGGAGGGUCAAACCCUCUCCAUAAAACAUGGACAUGCGGGGUUUGAACCCUCGCCAUAUAGAAAAACCCCUCCACUUAAGGGUGGCAAUUCAGCUCGAUGUUCGCGAGCCAGCUUGUGUUCGACUCAAAAUGAGCUCGAGAUUGAAUUACUCGUUUAGUAAACGAGCCGAAUACAAGCUAACUUUUUCAACUCAGUUUAAUAAACGAGCCGAACAUGAGUUGGGGUCAGCUCGCUCGUGUUCGGCUCGAUAACAACUUGAAUACAUAUGUUUUAUAUUUAAAUAAUUUAUAUAUUUUAUAUUAUUAUGUAUAAAUAAAUAAUUAUAUAGAAAAAGUAUAGAUUAUUAUUAUUUGAUUUUAGCCUAACCUAUAUAUUAAGCACAACGCAAUUAUAAAAAAGGUCAUUUAUAUGUAAAGUUUCAACUAUUAGAUCAAAGUCUAAUGGGUCGGAUUUUAUAAAUUAGUUCCUGUAUAUAUAUUCUUUCCAAUUCUUUUCACUUGCUGUCCAUGAGCUAGCUCGUAUUCGGCUCGUUAAUAAACGAGCUGAACACGAACUGAAUUUUUCGACUCGAUACUUUGACGAGCCAGCUCGUGUUUAUGAUAUGAGCCGAACAAGACACUACAACAGAAUUAGGUUAUAGGGACACAUGUUUGGGACACUUUUGAGUAAGUGUCCCAUUUAUGCUAAAACUUAAAAAAAUAUCUGCUAAUGCCUAAAUAUAAAGCCCAAUCCAACCAAAAAUAAAAGAUUACUCUACUCAACCCACCACACCCAGUCCAUUUGGCCCGAUUAGCCUACUGUGCUCAACUAAUUGGGUGGGCCAAGUAAUAAAUAGGAGUUCCUCACAUCUCUCAUGUUGGGCCAAAUACAAAACCUACAAUUUAUCCUGACCAAAUUAGCCUGCUGGGCUGAAUUAAUUGGGACGCAAAGCAAUACAUUCUCAUACUGGGCCAAAUUGGCUUUUAAUAAUUCUUAAUUUCCAUCGUAUAAAAAAUUUCAAACCGACAAAAAAAAAUACUUUUCCAGCAAGAAAAUUAGUUUAUGAGAUAUUUUUUCAGAGAACCAAACACCCGCUAAGUUAUCAUAUAUGUUUAUUAAUUCAUUUUAUAUAAAUUACGGCAUGUUUGGCCUCGAUCUACUUGCUCUUUUGCUUUCUACAACAAUCAAAUAGAUUAAGGCUCUAUUUGGUUCCGAUUCUGCUUUUGCGCUUUUUUCAGUAACGUAUAUAAUAGUGUUGGGUAAAUUAAAAGGUAUAAUGGAGAGUUUUGUUGCAGUAGAAAGCAAUUUGAAGAAGUGCGAACACUUUUUUUUUUUUUUUUUUUUUUACUUGAAGUAGUCUUACAAAAUUUUAAAUUUGAAAUUUCUCCUUUGAGUUCAAUAGUUCAUUAGUACAGCUUUUGGUUGUUUCAAAACGUUUAGGUUUUUUUUCUUUUUUUUUUUUGUUGUAUUGCUUUUACAUAUUUAAUUGUUAAUUUUAAGAUGUAAGAGUAAGGUAUUCCAAAAAUUAGGAUAGAAACUAAAAAGAAACUAUGACCCAAGUUUUAUAACGUCUCUCAUUGUGUCUGACUAUACUUAGCGCAAUUAAUUAAGAGUUUGAUGAUUGAUACCGGAAGUUCCAUGUUCGAAAAUUAUUUGCUGUAUAUUUCUAGCUGUGUCCGUUUCCAAGAAAUGAACGAAGCAGAUACCUUUCUCGAUUUUAAAAAAAAAAAUCAUUUUGAGUAUCUUUUUAUCGAAGAGAAAUUAAUUUGGGGAGAAAGUACUUCUAAUAUUGAUCUAGAUGUGGUGAAAAGAAUUUGAUUUUUCAUACAAGGAAACAAAAACUCAGAUCUUUUAGGAGUAGAACUCUCAAUUGGAUUUGUAAUCAUGAUAUGUAGACAAAAAAAAAAAAAAAAAAGAAGAAGGAAAAAAUGAGUAUGAUUAAUUUUCCUGUCAAAGAACUUUUUUUUUCCCCCCUCUUUUUCCUGUUCCUUUUUUAGCUAGUUUUGCAUGUUUCCUCUAAUGCAUACUCCUUCCUCUGAGGAGACUUUUUGGAUCACCAACAAAAGAGAUUAUGUGGGACAAAAUUUGCCUUUCAAACUUUCAAUAUUUGCCUAAAACUGAUGCACAACAUAUCAAAAAGUAGGAAAGUAGGUUACAUCAGGUUUCAUGACUAGAUAAGAAAUGGCCCCACAUUUGCUCCAUUACUCUCUCUCUCUCUCUCUCUCUCUCUCCGUAACUCCAAAGAUUUGGUCCCACACUUGAUGCAUAAUUUUUGCUCUCUCUCUCUCUCUCUUCAGGUACCAUUCAUUAACUAGGUCUCCAACUCAUCCUCUCUCUCUAUCUCCCUCCUCCCAUAAGUCAAACAGGCAUGAACCACGCAACUUGAUUCAUUUAAGCCUGUUGCAUGCAAUUUCUUUUUAUCUCAGAGAGAACGGUGGAGGUGGCGUGAUACUUGUUUCAUUCAUUUUUUAAAAAAAAAUCAUGUUAGAAAUGUAAAGUAACUAGGUUUCAAACUUGGUGCCUCAAGUAGGCUAGGUGAUGAAGCUCGUGGCUCGUGAGUCAACUCGUAUUUAGCUCAAAAUGAGCUGGAAACCGAUUACUCCAUUAAUAAAUGAGUUGAACUUGAGCUUGGGUUAGCUUGCUGAUGUUCGGCUCGAUAUAGCUCGAUAUAAAUACUAUUUGAAUUUUAGGCUAUUCUGAAUAUAAAGAGAUUCUAAUUUUUAAAAUUUUUCUUUCAACUUUUCACCCAGUAAUAGCACAGACAAUCUAAUUGACUAUUCAUGAGGCACCUCGUGUUCGACUUAUUAAUAAACAAGCCAAAAAUGAUUUAAAUUUUUUAGCUCGAUAUUUUAACGAGUCAGUUCAUAUUUGACUUAUUUAAUAAAUCAUGAGUGAAUACGAGCCGAUCCCAACUCACUCGUGUUCGGCUCGUUGACAACCCUAACCUCCAGUACUAACCAUCAAACACUUAGCCAAUACAUUAGGUACGGUUGACUGAAUAUAAAUUAUUAAACAGAAUAUUUCUCCACCAGCUUAAUAUUUAAAUUAAAGAAUCACAAGUACUUUACACAAUAUUAAAAUUGAAGAAUUUGAAGAGGAAUCUUAUGAGUCUUUCGGUCUUAUUUAAUCUAACUUAUUUCAUUUAACUCAGCGCUCACGUCGGUAACCUAUUCAAAAUUCUCUGAACCACCUGACGCGGCAAAAACUAAAAAUUUAAUAUAAACAAUUAAAACGCCGCUCUUUACCGGCGUAAAUUUUGGAAUAAUCAGCGUAUACAUUUAUACCAUCAAUCAAUCCUCUUCAAGAAGUUGUGCCCAAUAAAACCAUGAAAGCGCCUUAUAAACUAGCUCUUCAACUUAGGUAAGCAUUAGACAAAUGAAAGGGUUGACAUAACCACUUUCAAAGCUAGAGAGAGACAGAGGGAGAGAAAAUAAAAAAGUCUCUUUUAUAACAACAACUUUGAGAUCCAAAAAAAAGAAAAAAAAAGAAAGAAAAAAAACCUACCACCAUCAAGGGAAAUGGAUUGAUGGAUCCCUCCCUCAUCCCCAUCACCAUCAAUUAUAAAUGAGGCCUUUUUCCUUUUGUGACACCUAAGAUUGCAAAGGGUGUGGGAAUUCGCAAUUAGGUAAGUGGGCGGUUGGGAAGAUCCAUCUACGUACGUGUCAUCCAUUUUAGGGUUACACAUAUCAUCUUGCUUACUACUUUGGAAUUGAUAUUAUUAUUAUUAUUAUUACUAUUAUCAUCAUCAAAAUUUUGAUACUAUUGGAACACAUGCUGUCCAAUCAUUUGCUUCCACCAGUUUUUAUGCUAUUAUUUUAAUAUUUUGUCAUCUACCACUUCUCAAUUUAGUGAUAUUUUUAUACGCCUCGGCAUAUAUAUAUAUCUCUUAAAAUUUCUGAAAUAUUAUAUAUAUAUAUAUAUUGUUUUAAAUAUGUCUCUCGUAUACUUCUUCGUUAUUGAAAAAUAAUACUUUUGUUAGUAUCCGUUAAGUUAUCACAAAGUUAAAAAGAAGUCAAGAUAUCUCUUUUGACUCUAACUUGAAGAUAAAUAAAGAAAAGUUGACAACUGUAAAAAGAUAUAUUUGAAAGAACCCGAAGUCAAAAUACUUUUUUUGCUGGUAAUUUAAGGGCAAAUAAGAAAAAGUUAGUGAUGGUAAAAUAGUAUAUUUGAAAGCGCAAAUUAUAGAGAUAAUAAUGACUGUUCCUAACAGUUCACUAAGACCCUGUUUGGUUGGGGAACAAGGGUGGGGAUAAGGGGUUAUCCCCUCCUUGUUCCCCAAACACUAUAUUUAAGGGUGGGAACAAGCUAUUCCCACCCUUAACGGGUUAUCCCAGGAUAACCCGUUAAGGGUGGGAAUACCUUGUUCCCACCCUUAGGUAUAGUAUUUGGGGAACAAGGAGGGGAUAACCCCUUAUCCCCACCCCUGUUCCCCAACCAAACAGGGCCUUAGAGCACCAUUAGAUUUCAUUUCUAGAGUAUAAAACCCUAAUCCAAGCAUUCUGCCAUUAGAAGGCAAAGAGCUAACCUCUACUAAGCUCCUUCUCCAAGCUAAGGAAGAAGACAACAAUGGUGGUCCUCCUUCAAGCUCCAAUCUCCAUCUUAUCCUCCUCUUGAUUCCACUUAUAGAGAGAGGAAGAGCUUCUAGAGAGAGAGAGUGUGUUUGUUGGGUGGUUGCAAUUGAGAGAAAUGAGAGGGNCUAAAUUCAAAAAUUAAAAUUUAUAAUUUUAAAAUUACAAAAUUAAAAAUUUAAAUUUUAAAUUGUUUAAUUUAAAAUUUUAAAUUUUGAUAUUUUAAUUUUUUUAUAUUUAGAAUAUGAUAUUUUGUAUUUUUAAAUUAAAAUUUCAUCUUAAAUUAAAGUUCAAAAUUUUAAAAAUUAAUUUUUUAAAAUUAUAAAUUUGAGAUUUUAAAAUUUUAAAUUUUAAUUUUAAUUUUUAAACUUUAAAAGUUUAUAUUUUAAAUUUUAAAAUAUAAAUAUAAAAUAUAAAAAUUUAAAUUCUAAUAUAAAGAAAAAAAUAAUAAUAUUAUUUUUUAUUUAUAAAUACUCACUUUAAUUCUUAUCCCAUCUUACCUAACCAAACGCUAUUUUUCUUAUUCUCAGGAAUACUCAUGUUCAUCCAAACGCAAAAUUCAUCUAAUCCCCGCUUAUACCUCAAUUUAUACCUAUCCCUGGAAUAUCCACUUUUUGCUUAUUCCCGAACCAAACGAUAUCUAAUAGAAUUAAACUUUAAAAAUAUAUUUGAAAGAACUUAAAACGUUAAAAGAGUAUUUUUUAUAUUAGCCUUCUAAAGUGGAUAAAUAUUAAGUAAGUCUGAAAUUUUUCAGAGGUAUAUAAGCUGUUGCUCCUAAUUUUGAAUUCAAUAGAAAAAGAUUGAACCAGACAAGUAGAUUCAAAUUUUGAAUCUCUCGCUCUAAUAGCAUAUUAAACAACCAUUUGCAGACAGGGACGGAGCUAGAAUUUAAGUUUUGGUGGUGUCGAGCAACAAAUUAUCUAGAUAAUUAUUUAUUAAAAGAUAGUAACUAAUAGAUAGAUAUUUUUCUUUCGUUAAAAAGAUGGAUUUGGUGGAACCGCCCACAAUAUGAGAGUGCUUGAUUCGCCGUCCAUGUGUUUUUGGAGAUUUGUGUCAUUCGCGUGAUGAAUAAGGGAGGAGCACUCUCACUGUUCCUGUCAAAAUCGAUGUAGGUUAUUUGAAUCAAUCUAGAAUUCUUCUAGAAGUUACUAGAUAGAACUAAAAAUCACAAUUUUUUUUGUAAUAUUUUUACUUAUGUAUCGAGUUGAGAUCCUUCUAGUAGCAUAGAAUUUCCAUUGGAAAUCAAAGUCAAUAAUUCCUCAAUCAAAUAUCUAAAAAUAUUUUUCAAACAAAAUUUUAAUUUAUUGUAUUUAACUGUCAAACUAAGAACACUAAACCGUAAAAUAUAAAAUAAAAUAAUAGUAAAAAGCUAUAAAUAUUUUUUUCUAGCAGCUUCACAUAGUCUAAAAUAAUUUUAAUCACACCAAUCGUCAAAUCAAAUAUCCAAACAUGGAUUUUGUGGAGUUAAAAGUUAUAGUUUCAAUUAAUAAACAUUACAUUCUGUAAAAGACAAAACAAAAAUUUAAAAAAAGAAGAGAAAACUAACACUAGGUAUGUUUUAACCCUUUCUAAUUUUUCUUUUAUAUAUCUUGUACAAUUCAAUUCAUUAUUAGAUAUAUAUUUAAUUUAGUGAUUCCUUACUGGGUCAUGGUGUUAAAUCUGGCGUGAAGGAUCCUUGAACAUGGACUACGAGUUUAGUCUUAGACUUAGACAUAUUGAAUUAUUAAUUCCUUCUAAAUAUUAUAUUAUUUUUGUAACAUAUGUGACAACUAUAAGCUCUCAUAUACUCAUCAUGUGAUCAGCUAGCUAACUCUUCAUUUGCACUACUUUUCAAGCAAGUUGAAUAUACUUUAUAUUUGGAAUAUAUAUAACCAUAAAAUAUUUAUAUGUCAUUAAUUAUUUAUCACUGACAAAGUACAAGUAGUUUCUAUAAAUUCACUUUCUAACCACCCAUCAAGUUUAAUAGGUGGUUAGAAUGAGAGAGGGAGGAGAUAUUGGAAAGAAAUUGGAUGUCUCAAUUUCUCUUAUCCUUGAAUUUCUCUUCAAUAUCUCUUCCCUCUCUCAUUCUAACCACCUAUCAAACUUGAUGGAUGGUUAGAAAAUUAGGAGCAUAAGAGCUGCUGUGAUUCUAAUAGCACAGUAGACCUGCUCUCUCUCUCUCUCUCUCUCUCUCUCUCUCUCUCUCUCUCUAUAUAUAUAUAUAUAUAGAGAGAGAGAGAGAGAGAGAGAGAGAGAGUGAGAGAGAGAGAGAGAGAGAGAGAGCUGUUAAAAUCCUAGGAGCCGAAAUACUAUUGAUAGUAUUUAGGCUCUUUGGCUAUUAAUUUUUUAGUUGUUAGAUCUACAAUUUAAUUAAUUCGAGACUUUAAAUCAAACUAUUUAACCAAUCACCAACUCAACCCUAGGGAGACCACCAUUAAACCCUAGUAGAGGACCACUAUCCUAAUCCUAUAAUUUUUUAUCUGAGGAUUAAAAUCUCGAUAGCAAAAGAGUCCAAAUACUAUUACUAGUGUUCCAGCCGAAUUAUAUAUAUAUAUACUAUACUAUACAUAUACAUAUAUAUAUAGAUAUAUAUAUAUAUAUAUAUAAUAUAAUGGCUGGAUAACAUUAAUAUAAAACCUAUUUUUGCUAUCAAGUUUUAACCCUUGGAGAAAAUUGUAGGUCAAGAUGUAUAUUAGUCGUUAGAGUUGAUUAGUCCCCCUAGGGUUGAGUGGUCCCCACUGGUUAUAAUAUAAUACCAAUGGUUAAGAAAUAAUGAAAAGAGUUGAUCCAAAAGCUAAAAAACUGGUAAACAAUGGAUUUUGCUACUAAUAGUAGCCACAGUCCAACUCUCUCUCUCCUCUCUAUAUAUAUUAUAUAUAAUAUAGUGAGGCUACUAUUUAUCGGAAGCACGGAGCCUUCCGUGCUUCAGCUCGUUUUCGAUAUUGCGAUUUUCGAAUCGUCGAUCGGCUCCGUAAACUUGAUCUAGAGUAUUAUAGUAUCUAGAAAAUAAAUUUUAUGAUUUUACGAUACAUUUGCCUAGUGAACGAAGGGCUCAAAAUCAACAAAUUAAUAAGACCGUAGUGAAUCCGUUUGUCAAGUUUAACGUGUAGAAAUAUUCAAAUAUUGAUAUGUAUUUAAGCUAGUUCUAUAUAUAAUAUAUAUAUAUAUAUAUAUAUAUAUAGAACUAGGCUUAAAUACAUUAAUAGGCACAAUGACUUAGUGCUAUUAAGUUUUUGCCCUUGGAUUAAAAAGUUGUGGUUAGGAUGAUGUGGGCCCCUUAUGUUGAGUGUGGUGGUUGGGUGAAUAUAAUAAUCGAACGGAUUAAAAUGAUAAAAGAGCUAAAUCUAACGGCAGAAAACUUGAUAGCACCAAAAUUUUGUGCUAUCGAUAGUACCCAAUCGGACUCUAUAUAUAAAUAUAUAUAUAUAUAUAAAAUAUAUAUAUAUAUAUAUAUAGAUAUAUAUAUAUAUAAUAUAUAAUAAUAAUAUAUAUAUAUAUAUAUAUAUAUAAUAUUAAUUAGGCUAACUAUACUACUAUCAUACCGGGAACUCUGGUACCAUAGUCUGUUUUAUCGAUUUUAGGGUGUUCAAAUUAACCGAUCCACCAACAGUUAAAUAUAUCUAGGGUAAUAUUGAAUUCUAGAAAUAAAAUUUAUUUUUUCGACAUCGUUAUUUAGUAAAAAAUUAUAUCAAUCAUUAUUGGUAAAUGAAAUAAUCUAAAUUUGCAUAUAGGACUUUAAAUUCAAAUCAAGAAUGUUAACACUUAAUCUAGAUAGUGUUAAAAGUAUUUUCUAAUCAAAAUGAAGACAAUUAAGAAUUAUUUACACCGUUAAAACUCCAACUCCCAUAGUACCAUUGAAAAUGCAAUUUUGAAAAUUGUUUGAUCAUAAAUAAACUAAUGUCGAAAAAAUAUAAAAUUUAUUUCUAAAACUUUAAAAUACGCGCUAGACAUUUAACACGGUGUGGAUUCCGUUGAAUAUUAAACACCCUAAGAUUGAAAAAGGGACUAUGAGUUCCGGAGCCCCGUACUAUAGAUAGUAUAGAAGAAGCUCUCUCUCUCUCUCUGCUCUCCUCUCUCCUCUCUCUCUCUCUUCUAUAUAUACAUAAUAUAUAUAUACAUGUACAUAUAAAUAUAAUAUACAUAUACAUAAUAUAACAUAUAAUAUAUAUAUACACAUAUAUAUAUAUAAUAUAAUAUAUACUAUAUAAUAUAUAAUAUAUACAUUAAUAUAUAUAUAUUAUAUAUAAUAUAUAAUUAUAUAUAAUUAAUAAUAUAUAAUAUAUAUAUUUAUAAGCGUCCGCUACUAAGAGUAAUUUCAUAUUACGAUCGUUCCUCGUACUAAUAAGUUUUUCGAUGAUAAGCUCAGAACGACGACCACACCGUACAUAUUAAUCAACAUUAAAAAUCUAGAAAACUCAAAUUUUAAUAAUUUUCGACAUCAUUACCUUUACGAUCAAGAGUCACAAUGACAAUUAACAGCCGUAUGGAAUACUUUAGUUUAACAGUGAAAGAAUCGAAUUAUUGCAAUUUUUUGAUAGAAAAUUCUAUUCACCUACACUAGAAAAGAUAAUAACUUCGAAUCUUGAAUUAAGGAUCCGACCAUGGCUUUUAGAUGUCGUUCGAUUUUGACACAUAUCAUUUAUCCCACAAUUGAGGACUUAUUAGAAUUCAAAAAUUUUAUUAAAUUUAUUUUCAUAAUAUGUUUCUUCAAAUACUCUAAAUCGCAUAUUUAACAGAGUGAAAAUCGUCGAUUCGGAAGCUCCAUCAAUGCGAAAACAACUUAUAGAUAAGGCAGGCUCAAACUCAUAAUAUAUAAGUAGCCAUGGCCUCAUAUAUAAUAUAUACCAAUACAUAUAUAAUCAUAAAUAAAUAUAUACAUAUAUUAGAUACAUAUAUACAUACCAUACAUAUAAUACAUAUAUACAAUACUAAUAUAUAUACAUAUAUACAUAUCAUAUAAUAAUAUAUAUAAUAUAUAAUUACAUACAUAUAUAUAUAUAUAAUAUACAUACAUACAUAUAUUAUAUACUAUAUGUAUCAUCAUACAUAACACACUAUAAUACUAUAUAUAUAUCACCUACAACAAUAAUAUAUAUAUAUAUAAUAUACAUCAUACAUAUAUAAUAUCAUAUAUAUACACAUACAUAAUAUACAUAUAUAAUAAAAAUAUACAUAUACACAUAUCACAUACCAUAUAUAAUAUAUAAAUAUAUAUAUAUAUAUAAUUACAUAAAUGUAGAUAUAUAUAUAUAUAUAUAAUACAUAUAAUUAAUUAUAUAUAUAUACAUAUAUAUGUAUAUAUAUAUAUAACAUAUAUAUGUAUAUAUAUAUUAUACAUAUAUAUGUAUAUAAUAAUAUUAUACAUAAUAUUAUAUAUAAUAUAGUAUAUACACACAUAUAUAAUAAACAAUAUAAUAUAUUAUACAUAUAUAUUAUAUAACGACAUAAUAUAUAUAUAUAUAACUAAUUGAGCAUACUACAUACUUUAAAAGUACCAACCCCUCUGCUUCACUAAUUUCUAGCCCUUGAUGUCUACUCCUUAAUUAUAAUACCCUUUGAUCAAACAACUAUCCACCUACCACCCUCUUCUCAAACACCUACAUCUCUCGCAUCAAUAGUAAAAAACUUAGAAGCAACCAACCCCGUGGUGCUUUGAAGUAUUUCUCGCUCAAACUAUAAUAUAUUAUAUAUAUAUAAUUAAUAUAUAUAAUAUAUAUAUAUAUAUAUAUAUAUAAAUAUAUAUAUAUAGUAUAUAUAACAUUAUGCCUACUAUCUAUCAAUAGUAAAGUACCGAAGAAGCCCUUGUAUAUAAUUUGGGCCGUUGAUAAAGGAUGUCGGUUACAUUAUACGUCGCCCGCAAUUAAAUUGAUAUGGUUCUCCCUAGGGUUGAGUGUGUGUGGUUUAAUAGUAUAAUCUAACGGUGAAAUUACUAAAGGUAGAAUCUAAGCGGUAGAAAACUCAAAGUACCAAGUGUUCGGCUAAAUGGAGCCAGCAUCCGUCCUAUGCCGGAGACCAUACGUGGGCCAAGUAUUUUCGACAAAUGGUUAGGUUGGAGUUGGCCGAGAUCAUUCAAGUUGCAAUGAGGGCCAGGUGGCCGAGUGCACAAUCGAGACCCUGGCGCUCAUGUUUCGUACACUCUUAAGUAAUGUUGCGUAUUUCAACAGUUUAGCUUUGAGAUUAAUGUUAUCGCCAACUGAUCCGACAGAAGCCAAUGGCUGGUACUUAUCAAUAGUAUAUACGCCCGGACUCUAUACAUAUAUAAUAUAGCUUACUACUAACUAUAUAUAUAGGCCUAGUAUAACUAUCGGUAGCCACGAUGACCCCGGCUACCGGACUUGUUUCAAUACGCGGCUCGUUCCAAAAUCGACCGGUGGGUUCCGUACUAUCUCUAUAACUAUAUAUAUAUGAACGAGUAGUGUGAGAGAGCGAAACACCCACCACCAUAAUGAGCAAAAAGUUGAAAAUACAAUUUAGAUGGAGAUUUGAUGCCGAAAAUUUAUAAAAUAGUUUCGAAAUCUUCAAGUUUAGAUAAGUCUAACGGAGCGAUAUCGACAUUACAAACGCGCAUCAUUGAAACAAUUCGUAGCAACUGAGGCCCUCCUCAACCGAAGUGCUACCACCGACUCUCUCUCUCUCUCCACUCUCUCAACUCUCCCUCUAUAUAUAUAUAUAUAUAGAGAGAGAGAGAGAGAGAGAGAGAGAGAGAGAGUCCGGGUACUAUAUACUUUUAUGAGUAUUGACUCCCUUAUACUCAUAAGUUUUCGGUCCCUAGAUUUAUUCCAUUGAUAUAUCAUUUCCACCCGUUAGAUUAUACUAUUCAACCAACUAUCCACUCAAUCCUAGGGGACAAUUAUUAUUCUAAGUGGGGACCACCAUCAUCCUAACCACACAUCCCGUCAAUUAACGGUUAAAAAUUUAUGAGUACAAGGGGGUCUAUAUUAGCAUUAAAAGUAUAGUAGCCAGACUCUGCUACUAUAUUAUUGAUCGUAUCAAGCGUUUGGUGUUAUCAAGUUUUCGACUGUUGGAUGAAAGAAUAUGCUGUUAGGCUAAUAGUGGUUUCCAGUUAGGAUGAUAAUAAUCUCUUAGGAUUAAGUGGGUGGUUGAUUGAAUAGUAUAAACUGACGAAGGAAAUGAUCAAAAGGUAGAUCUAACGGCAUCGAUAGUAUCAAGAGUUUGGUACCGUCGAUAAUAUAGUAGCCGGACUCUCUCUCUAUGUAUAAACCAUAAUUAGUUUCCUGGAUCUGGAAGAGUUGAAUUUGUUGAGUCAGCCAAAUUUAAAAUAGAAUUAAUUUGUUCUCUUAGUAUUUCUCAGUUUCAUAAUUUGACUUAGUCAUAGUUUGGACUUGAUAAUUUUAAAUCCAAGUGGAGUGAAAAUAAUUAGUUUCAUGGAUGUGGAAGUGUUGAAUUUGUUGAGUCAGCCAAAUUGAAAGUAGAAAUAAUUUUUUCUCUUAGUAUUUCUCAGUUUCAUAAUUUGACUUAGUCACAGUUUUGGAUUCGAUAAUUUUAUAUCCAAGUGGAGUGAAAAUAAUUUAGUUUCAUGGAUCUGGAAGUGUUGGAUUUGUUAAGUCAGCCAAAUUUAAAAUAGAAUUAAAUUUUUCUUAGUAUUUCUCAGUUCCAUAAUUUGACUUAGUCACAGUUUUGGAUUUGAUAAUUUUAAAUCCAAGUGUAGUGAAAAGGAAGAGACUUGAGUUUGACAUUGGUUAAAUACUUUAAAGUUUAAAUUAGACCCCUUACUCUCCACCAACUCCUAUCCCAUAUAUAAUAAAGCCAUUAAAUAAAUACAAAGUAUUUGGAUGUUUAAGAUUAAUUAAAAUCGAAAUCAUGAUGGUCAUUAACCACCCUUCAUACCACGACACUUUAUCUUGUUAAGUAAAGUAAGCGAGUUAUUAUUUUAUGCGGUUCAACUACUGACCUACGUCCAUCAUGAAAUCCUAAUUGCGAAAACACCUCAUGCUUUUUAAUUAGUGCUUAUAAUCACUUUAUUUAUCCAAUCAAUGUUAGAUAAAAGAAAAGUUGAGAUGUACAUAACAUUUCUUAAUUGGGAGAUCAUAAGAAUAUUGAGUUGUAUAUAUACCCCACAAAGAUUUGGCUAAGAUAACAUGGAAAAGAUUGGGAUGGAGUUAUUAAUUUCUUAUUACCAAGUUGGUAGCAUUUUAUACUAUAUUUACUAUGACAAAAGUCUAAAGAUGAAAUAUAAUUUAUUUACAAAGUCUCUUAGUCUAUAGUUGACUUAGGUCAACUAUUAUAUAUGCUUUGCUGAGCUGGUUUGGGAUUUAAAGUAGCACUCAUGCGAUAGCAUGGGUUGUAGGGCUCAUAUUUGUCCCUUCAAAAUUAAUGGUUAAAACAAUGGAGAGUUAGGUGGGUUUUAAUAAAAAAAAAGAACAUGAAUGUUUGGGAGGGCAUAUUUGCAUACUCCUAACUGUUAGAAUUUUUUAGAAGGAUAGAUUUAAAAUGUCAAAAUUGUAAUUUUAUUUAUAAAUUGUUAAAAAAUAAAUAGUAGACUAACGACAACAAAUUAGAGAAAUAAAUAUGAGAAUAUUAGAAUUUUCGAAAGACAAAUGAU